ACCGUGCCCGACGCGCGCCAUUUGUACGGCUCCGGUUCGCACGGUAACCUGUUGCCGACUGUCCAGCGAUCGAAAACACUCCGACGAUAAACUCUUUCGAACUGUUACGUAUCGGUUCGCGUUGGAACAAUUAUAGAGAACCGGCAGAAAGUUGCAAUUCAACAGGCCUGUGCGAUCCAUCGACGAACGCGUCGUGCCGCGAAUACUUGGACUCGUGUGUGUACGGGACACUUCUUAAAUCGUACGAAUUCCGCGAGUGAUUCGAGGAACGCGUAGUUCUUGGAAGAUUCAGGACGAGUUGCGCGCUGGGUGUGCAACGAUGACGAGUCUCUGGUAUCUGUAGUGGGAAGCUGUAGUAGCUGGUACGCGGUAGAAGCUAAAGGUGUGCAGGCAUUCACGGUUCUGGUAAUCCGUUCUAGAUCGUCGCGAUUCCACGAAUGCAACGGUAACGGUGUGAGUGACGAUUUCGAGUCUCGACUCCUGGGAAUCGCGUUUAAGCAGCUUCGUCUUCGAAUCGGUACUUUGCACUCGAACGGCUCUCUGGCCACAUGAUUCGAUAGAGAAAUGAAGUCUGAGAUUUAAUAUGGAUUUGAAAUAUGCAUAAAUUAUACAUCGGUUGCUUAAAUAAUAGGAGAAAGAAGCUACGUGCCGAUCUCUUGCUGUUUAAGCAAUUAUAUCACUUGCUUGCGACUUAGAAUUCUGAAUACGAUGAUUUGAUUCCCUCGGAAUGUCGAAUAGUCAGCAAAAAACUUCCUUGACUACUGUUGAAAAAUUUGAUUAUUGACAUUAAUUGCGUCUAAGCUCGCUUAGAUCUGACUUCACUCAUUCAGUUCACUUCAGUGUUUUCCAAUACACGUUCUCAAAGAUACACAGCCAAUUAACGUAGAUUCGAUAUCGAUAUUAAAUUCUACUAUUACAAAUAUUACUGCGCGCAAUCUGAAAUAUUCCGUCGAAGCUCAAUCAAUUUUUAAUAUAAAUUUCAAGGGAAAUACCUCCGUCCUUAAUUCGCGCGCGAUUUCUCGAGGAAUUCAUUUCCAACGACGCCGCGUGUACCUCGUCGGAGAAUAUUGAAUAUCCAGUGAAAAACUGUCGAGUGCAAGGGGGUUGGCGGCGGUAGGGGACGAUGGCCGUUUCCUAAAGCCUCGGGCUUCCGGCAACAGCGUGUAACCUGUUGCUUAGUAAUCCAUUACUCUUGCGAAAGACAGCGAUUGUUACGCGAUUCCCGUGUUUUCGCGUCGAAGCUCCGCGAGCGCUGACAAUGGCCGUCGCGAAUGGUUCAACAAGUGAAUGAAAGCCGACUCGUCAACUCUGCCGGCGCGCUAUUGUUCGAACCGUCGAUGGACGAUCGCCGGCGCUGAAGGAUUAACGUGCCGGUCCCGUCCCAGAGGGGAAGUCCAGGUUCCCAGCGAACUUCCCGGCGCGCCGUGGAACUGGAUACGCAGCGGGGCUGUUCAACCCCGAAACACCGUAAUCUCGAGCCGAUUGGAUAGAGAGGGGGACGCUCGGCGUCUAGAGACGGUCUCCCGCACACCUGCGUGGCGAGGGCGCGAGGUCGAGCUGCGGAAUCGAUUCCAGGACAAUGGGGACGCGCCUCGAUCCGUCAGGAAUUGUCUCUGACGCGUCGAUCGUGUCCCGAGGGAUUAUCCCCCGCGAAGGGCAGACGGCAUCGCGGGUCAGGAAGAUCGGUAGCCAGGGAAACGAUCUCGAUUCCUUUCGCCCUCGAUGUCCCUCGGCCGACGAGGAAUGAACUGGACGCACGGACGCCGGAGGGUUGUUUCCAGAAGAAUGCACCUGAUUUCCCGCCCCCUCGUAUUCCAAUCAACAAGUUGCUUGGUAUUGCCGCCGCGGUUUCUGGGGAUGUAGCUCUGUUUGUCUUCGGGUUUGAUUGAGGCCCUUUCUGCUGGAUGCUGAUUGGAGACGCUCGGACCGGUGCGACGAUUCAUUUAGUUCGGUGAUCUCACGCGUAGGAUUACUUGUGCGGUAAUUAGUGUGUAAUUCGGUGGUAGAUUUGAUGGUGUUUUAUUUGGAGUUGUAGUCGGCUGUAUCGCGUUGCGUGAGACGGUUUGUAGUUCGAUUUUGCGGUGGUAGAAGUCUGUAUUUUGGUUUUAGAGUGAACUUUGGUGCUCGAUGGGAGUUUGAAGUGCUGUAAGUUGUAUAGCAGUACGAUCUUCUGUUUGGUUGAAUGUUCCUGCGUUGGCGGGACGUUAAAGUUCGAUGGCAGAUUGAAUUUCGAUUACGCUGCGAUCUUUCUCUGUUCUUGCUUCGGAUACUCGUAUUUCGACGUAGCGAUACAAUGAGUGUUUGAACUUUUGCCACUCACGCGAUUCUACGAUCUCCUUCUAGUCUUGUUAGUACUUCGACAAAACUAAAUUGACAUUCAUAGUUUAACAUAAUCCAGAGACAACUCGAACCAAGGCACUCUUGUUCCGAAUACGCAUGCUUCAACAUGAGAAAUUAAAUUGAUACUCGUUCAACGUGACGAUCCAACAACUCAAACUCUUGCCACUCUUACACUACCAUCUCUCUCCAUUCUUGUUCCAAAUACUUCAACAAAAUUAAAUUGACACUCAUAGUUCAACAUAACGAUCAACAAUUUGAACCCUUACAACUCACGCAAUUCUACAAUCUUUCUUCAUUCUUGUCCCAAAUUCGCAUGCUCCAACAAAACGAAUCAAGUUGAUACUCAUGCAACGAUCCAAUAACAACUCGAAUUCUUAUCACUCUCACACUACCAUCUGCCUGUACUAGUUCUAAAUACUUCAACAAAACUAAAUCGACACUCAUAGUUCAACAUAACGAUCAACAACUCGAACCCUUACAACUCACGCAAUUCUACAAUCUUUCUCCAUUCUUGUCCCAAAUUCGCAUGCUCCAACAAAACGAAUCAAGUUGAUACUCACACAACGUAACGUCCAACAACACCUCAAACUCUUACCACUCUCACACUACCAUCUCCCUCUUCUCGUUCCAAAAUCGUCCUAAAUCGCCACUCACAGUUCAACACAACGAUCAACAACUCGACCCCCUACCCGCACUAAACCUCCCUCCGUCUCGAAAAACGGCCACAACAAGAAAGUCCAACGAAUGAGAUUCCUCCCCCGAACAUUCGUGCCUCAAAACAGCGAAGAACUUCCGGAACUAUUCCGGCGGAUAGCUCCCAGCCGCAUCACCGAAAGCGAUAUCGUACAUCAAAAGCGGUUCGCCCGCGGAACAGGCUGUCUCCCGUCCAAUCUCCGGGAGGCGAGAGGGUAGGGGGUCGCGAGGAUUCUUCCGGGUCGCGAAGUAGAGCGGAAUGAUUCUAACCGGCGGGAACGGAUCCCCGGUAAUAAAUCCUCGGCGCGGAUCGGCCGGAGGGAAACGAGCUGGAAACACGAGCGACCUCGGGGCGACGCUGAAGUUGCCGGUGUUCUUCAAGGUCUAGGGUUCACCUUGAACGCGCGCUCGAGGCCAAGGGGAGCUGCUCUCUCGUCGUCGGGGAGAACUUCCGAGGGUUGUUCCGCUUUAAUCGCCGCGCGUCCAACGAAACGCAUCCCCCAAGCGUCGUAAGUCGCGACGAACUUCAGGAUUCGCGACACUCGCAUCGCCGUUGGGAGGAAUAACGCUCGACCCUGAGGAAGUCGAUCGGGAAUGCAAUUUUGUGGGGAUUGAGUGACACGUAAAACGUGACCCGGUGUAUCGAACGAUUCGCAUCGUUAUCGGACGUUACGGGGAUCGAUGCGGAAUACCCUAUGAAACUCGGAUGCGAUAAAAAACGCUUGAGGGUGGAAUAGAGGGAAGUCGAGGACUGUUCGGGGUUGUAGUGCGGAAGAUCGAGUGACGUAAUAGAGGAUUGGAGAUUGUUCUGAGAUCCGUGGAGUGGAUGUUGAGUGUUGUUCGGGAAUGUGAAGGUUAGGUCGUUGUAAGGGGAUGCGGAACUGAGACCUAAUUAGUGAUGAAGUGAUAUAGAUUCGGUGUUGGGGUGGAAUUUCUAAUGGAGCUUUGGAAUAAAUAAUCCACGAUUCUGAAGAGCGGAAGCGACAGAGGUAGGUGCAGAGGAGAUGUGAAAGCAGAUUGACGAAAGUGGAAUAAUAGAACCGAGGGAAAUAAUUGAUGGAGCGAGGAUAACGAUGCAAUCAUCGGACACAGUGCCAUGCUGCGACACACGCGCGACGAGGACACCUGGCGCCACGUGCAUCUGAACGAAACCCUGCUGCAACUGAGGUCCCUGCUGCGCCGCAUGACCAUGAAUCGGCUGGACAAUUACACCGACCUGAUCCGGACGUUCAACAUCACCGACGAGGACAUCAAGUACGUGAUCGACUACUUCGACAACGACAACCAGACGGCGCAGAAAACUGCCAGCGAGCCGACCGGCUGCUACUGCAACGGCACCGUCAGGAACCUGGCCGUCGGCUACCGGAACUACCACGGCUACGUCGCGCUGAUGGUCUGCGUCUUCGGCACCCUGGCUAAUAUGCUGAACAUCGUCGUGCUCACCAGGAAGAAUAUGGUCACCGCGCCUAUCAACAAGAUACUGACCGGCCUGGCGACCGCUGACAUGCUGGUGAUGUUGGAGUACAUACCGUUCGCCAUUUACAAGUACAUCGUGCUGCCCAAGAGACAGGUCUUCCCCUACGGAUGGGCCGUCUUCGUGCUCUUCCACAUGCACUUCACGCACAUACUGCACACCAUCAGCAUCGCCAUCACGCUCACUCUGGCGAUUUGGAGGUACAUCGCGAUUAGAUUCCCGCAGAACAACUCGUGCUGCACGCCGACACGCUGCAAGCUGGCGCUCUGGAGCAGCUUCCUGGCCUCGUUCGUCGUCUGCGCCCCUAGCUACUUCGUGUUCGGCGAAGAAGACGCUGAACGAGAACGGGACCGUGGAGAUCGCGUACAUCGUCGACACGGACUACACGCAGCACAAGGACUUCCUGUACCAGCUGAACUUCUGGGUGCUCGGGGUGGUCAUGAAGCUCCUGCCCUGCGUCAUUCUCACGGUUAUCAGCUGCUGGCUGAUAAAAGCUCUUUACAGAGCGAAGGGCAGGAAGCAGGUGUUGAAGAGCUACAACCAGUGCAAGGGCAGCUUAGCCAUGGGCAACGGGCAGAUCUCGCGGAAGCCCAGCAAGUCGGACCGCCGAGCGGACAGGACCACCAACAUGCUGGUAGCCGUGUUGCUCCUGUUCCUGGUCACGGAGAUCCCCCCGGGCGUCCUGAGCCUCCUGUCCGGCGUCCUGGGCGACUGCUUCUUCCGCACCUGCUAUCACAACUUCGGCGAGCUGAUGGACAUCCUGGCGCUGCUGAACGGCGCCAUCAACUUCAUCCUCUACUGCUCCAUGUCCAGGCAGUUCCGCACGACCUUCGGCCAGCUGUUCAAGCCCAGGAUCAUGAAGAAGUGGCAGCCCGCCACGCAGCAGACGGACGUGCAGAGCACCUACGUAUGAUGCCGGCUGAAGGGUCUAGAGACCACGCGUCUCUAGAGGCUAGGCGUCGCGACGCCGAGUGGAAACUGGAAAUCGAGGAGACACUUUCAUAACUCAUCCAGUGGGCUGACCUGGGAAGUUGCUUUUAUUCGUCCAAACUGCCAACUUCUGCGGCGAUGAGCUAGACUGCGACACUGCGUUGUUGACUGUAGCAGGUUGCACAGGUUGUUGUUGGAGAGAGGACACUUUCCGGUCAGCCCAGACUUCUUACACGACUCGAACAACUUUUGCACGAUGCACGACGAGGAGAUUCUAGACAGCGACGUUCAGCACCUGUGUGAGAAUGUGGAACAGAACUGAUGUCUAGGGGCGAGUGAACUGCAGAUUUUAGUCUUACCGAGGAACGGAUGUUUGUGCUGCAUGGACAGUUAGAAACGAUUCGCUGGAUAGUUUCUAGAGCAGUCGAAUGGAUCGGUAUCCAUUUAGAAUGAUCGAUAACCCUCGACACGGAUAAGCGAAACGCAGGUGUUCCGCUGAAGUUCGUCGAUAUUUUAAUAACAUAAACGGCGCGCGUCGUUGACGAACCGUUCGCGCUGUAAUUAAUUGUAUCAGAUAACCCCGCGUCGUUGAUCGAUGUUCGAGCGUGAUUCGCGCGGCAACAUUUUCAGACUUUGCCGUCGACGUUGCUCCAGAGCGUGGAUCACAGGCGAUCAAAGAAUUUCCAUGAAAUUGCAUCUCGACGGGGCGGGUCCGAGCGAAACGAUCGGCCAGCCUUUUUUUUACCGGUCGGUUAAUCGAUUGCACUUUGACAACGAAACCUACAGAUUUCAUAGACGAGAGACACGUAUAUACAUAUAGGGUGAGAAAAAGUGAACGAAGAAUAUCGAAGCUAUUACAUAAACGCUAACGUAGAGUAAUUGCGAAUGAGACGGUCGGAUCUCGUUUAGAUUAUCGAUUAUUUCCUUGGAUUAUUUAGUAAACUAGAUCUUUAUGAUAAUGUACAUGUAACAAAGUUUAGUUAUUUUUAUAAUAAUUUAUAUAUCGCAGAGUUUAUAUAUAAACGCUAGUGUACGCAGGGUAAUUCCGUAUGAGAUGGCCCGAGCUUAUUUAGAUUAUCAAUCAUCUGUCUUCGAUUAUUUCGUAUUUUUAGUGAAUCGUGUUUGUAAUAAAUCAGUUUCGAUAAUGAACGAAUGAAUUAUCGAACACGCAACAGUAACACUAGAUUUACAUUUAUCGUAUGGUCUGCUCUACUGCUCUUAGGAAACUUCAUGUUCGUUCAUCGGAAUUUGAAAGUUAGAGGUUUAAAAAUAGAUUAUUCAGGUAAGUAUAAUACAUAAUACUGGUGUACUUGCCGACAGAGUUAACCGAAUAGUGCUUAUAAAAUUCAAUAAGCGUCAGAUCGACGCGUCCCGCGAAGCUAGCGUUGAACAAACGAGACGCGCGACACAGGAAUGUCGCGUAAUAAUCGUUUGCCGAGCAAUAAACGAAAUACCGUGUACUAAAUACGUCCGUAAGAAUAAAGGAAUAUCUGCUCGCAAAGUUAGGUAUAAAAUUUGUCCAAAGAUUCGCAUGCUUUUCAAUUAAACAGAACUCAAAGCACCGAUCCACCGAAAUCGGAUAAUAGCUUUUUCAUGAGAACUGGGUCGUCUCUGCAGGAUUUAACCUGCGUAUUACAUAUUUACGUAUACAUACAUAUUAUAGGUACGUUAAUUAAUGUAGCACAAUCACGCGGAAAACGAGGAUGUGUAAUUAUAUUUCUCGCGGACGUAAAACGCAGCGCCAGCGAAUACCGAGCGGCCGCGUUAGUUUUGUACGACGGGGAAACGCUGCGACGGAUUUUCGGCUAAUGAGCCCGGCCGGA